AACAGGAUUAGAUACCCUGGUAGUCCACGCCGUAAACGAUGUCGACUUGGAGGUUGUGCCCUUGAGGCGUGGCUUCCGGAGCUAACGCGUCAAGUCGACCGCCUGGGGAGUACGGCCGCAAGGUUAAAACUCAAAUGAAUUGACGGGGGCCCGCACAAGCGGUGGAGCAUGUGGUUUAAUUCGAUGCAACGCGAAGAACCUUACCUACUCUUGACAUCCAGAGAACUUAGCAGAGAUGCUUUGGUGCCUUCGGGAACUCUGAGACAGGUGCUGCAUGGCUGUCGUCAGCUCGUGUUGUGAAAUGUUGGGUUAAGUCCCGCAACGAGCGCAACCCUUAUCCUUUGUUGCCAGCGGUCCGGCCGGGAACUCAAAGGAGACUGCCAGUGAUAAACUGGAGGAAGGUGGGGAUGACGUCAAGUCAUCAUGGCCCUUACGAGUAGGGCUACACACGUGCUACAAUGGCGCAUACAAAGAGAAGCGACCCCGCGAGAGCAAGCGGACCUCAUAAAGUGCGUCGUAGUCCGGAUUGGAGUCUGCAACUCGACUCCAUGAAGUCGGAAUCGCUAGUAAUCGUGGAUCAGAAUGCCACGGUGAAUACGUUCCCGGGCCUUGUACACACCGCCCGUCACACCAUGGGAGUGGGUUGCAAAAGAAGUAGGUAGCUUAACCUUCGGGAGGGCGCUUACCACUUUGUGAUUCAUGACUGGGGUGAAGUCGUAACAAGGUAACC
rnacentral:rRNA from 1 species